AGCACAGUCAGCUAAUCAAGCUCUCGGGCCCAUACCCCGAAAAUGUUGGAUAAGACCAACCUCUGCUA
rnacentral:tRNA from 1 species